rnacentral:rRNA from 1 species
CCUACGGGAGGCACCAGUGGGGAAUCUUGCGCAAUGGGCGAAAGCCUGACGCAGCCAUGCCGCGUGAAUGAUGAAGGUCUUAGGAUUGUAAAAUUCUUUCACCGGGGACGAUAAUGACGGUACCCGGAGAAGAAGCCCCGGCUAACUUCGUGCCAGCAGCCGCGGUAAUACGAAGGGGGCUAGCGUUGCUCGGAAUUACUGGGCGUAAAGGGCGCGUAGGCGGACAUUUAAGUCAGGGGUGAAAUCCCAGAGGUCAACUCUGGAACUGCCCUUGGAAAUUGGGUUUUUGAAUUUGAAGGAGGGAAUGGGAAAUCCGGGGGGUAGGGUGAAAUUCGGUAAAUUUCGGAAAAAACCCCGUGCGAAGGCGACAUACUGGCUCAUUACUGACGCUGAGGCGCGAAAGCGUGGGGAGGAAACAGGAUUAGAUACCCGUGUAGUC